UAGUACCAGGUUUUUUCUUUAAAAAAUAGAUACUUUGUCUCUUUGCUUUGUCAAGCUAGUAUGGCUUCGCAAAUGUUUAUAUAAUAUUGCUGAAGGGAUGUGAGCCUAUUUUCCCCUUUACCUUAAAGGUCCUAGGAGAUUGGUGUCACAUGCCAGCUUUUCUUUGAAACUGUGCAACAGUGUACUGAUCUUGCAUCACAGGCAACAGAAAUUUGUCUUCUAAGGGCAGUACAAUUCUGUCUUGCAAUACUGUGUUAACAAAGGAAAUCUUAAUAGUUGAUGACUACGGGUGUGUUUGGUUGGAUGUACAUGGUGGGAUGGGAGGGGGCGGCCACAGUUUCUAUAGUGUUUGGAUGAGAGUCACGUAGGGGCGAGGUAAACACAAGAGUAGUUUUUGGUGGCGACGUGAUCCCAAAAAAUCGAGGGACGGUGUCGCCCUCGUCUCAUCCCACUUUGACCUCAAACCAAACACAUACUACAAGAAUGUUAAUGUGUUAUGGCCAUCUAGUUUGUUAGCACUCAGCAGUCAGCACUUAGAAAAAUGAGAUGUUCAAAGAGUACAUUUUUCUGUAAAGAAAAACACUUGCUGCUACAGUGUAUUUGUUUCCACCAUUGUUUCUUGCAUUUGCAGAAAAUCUACCAGCAAAAUUGAUGGCAUUUUCUUUUUGUUUAGAUGCAUUUUUUACUUUACAUAAAAAGCAUUCUGCACAUAAAUCACAGCUCACCAAUCUUCGUUUCAUGCACCUGUUGCAUAACUAAAUAGUAACUUGUGCAGGUAGUGUCCAGUGAACUGAACUCGUUAUAUUCUCCGGUUUAUUUUUUCAUUAACAUCACUUCUUGUGCUUUCAUUUAGGAUAUCACUAUGAAAGUCUUUGUUCCACUAUUUUUCAAUAUGUUUUCUGACGUAAAAGCUGGGAAUUGUUUCUUGCAUUUGCAGAAAAUCUACCAGCAAAAUUGAUGGCAUUUUCUUUUUGUUUAGAUGCAUUUUUUACUUUACAUAAAAAGCAUUCUGCACAUAAAUCACAACUCACCAAUCUUCGUUUCAUGCACCUGUUGCAUAACUAAAUAGUAACUUGUGCAGGUAGUGUCCAGUGAACUGAACUCGUUAUCUUCUCCGGUUUAUUUUUUCAUUAACAUCACUUCUUGUGCUUUCAUUUAGGAUAUCACUAUGAAAGUCUUUGUUCCACUAUUUUUCAAUAUGUUUUCUGACGUAAAAGCUGGGAAAGGCGAACAAGUCAGAGAUAUAUGUUUGGAUACACUAUCUGCUGUUGCUGCCAAAGUGCAGUGGGAACACUAUAGAACAAUAUUGAAGAGAUGCUUCCGAGAAUUAAACCUUAGACCUGAUAAGCAGAAGAUCAUAUUGAGGCUGAUUUGUUCCAUAUUAGAUGCAUUCCAUUUCAUGAAACCUGCAAAUGAUGCCUCAGGAAAUUCUGAUGCUUUGAGUGAAGAUAUUGAUUCUUCCCUUACAUUCUCUUUGGUCACAGUCUCUUCUGAUAAGCAACAGUACAUGCAAAAGGUAGUGUUUCCACAGGUUCAAAAGUUGUUAGGAUCAGAUCCAGAGAAAGUCAACGUCAACAUAAACCUGGUAGCACUGAAAAUACUUAAGUUGCUACCGGUGGAUUAUUUUGAGUCCCAACUUUCAAGCAUCAUUCAUCGAAUCUGUAACUUCCUCAAGAAUCGUCUUGAAAGCAUACGUGAUGAAGCUAGGUCUGCUUUAGCUGCUUCUGUUAAGGAACUGGGGAUUGGGUAUUUGCAGUUUGUGGUCAAGAUAUUAAGAGCUAUACUUAAAAGAGGUUUUGAGUUACAUGUUCUGGGCUACACACUUCAUUAUUUGUUGUCAAAAAACAUUACUGCUGAUAUGUAUGGUAGGCUUGACUACUGUUUAGAAGAUUUGUUGGCAGUGGUUGACAGUGAUUUACUUGGAGAUGUUGCAGAACAAAAGGAAGUUGAAAAACUUGCCUCCAAAAUGAAAGAGACAAAGAAGAGAAUGUCGUUUGAGACUCUUAAGCUGAUUGCUCAAAGUAUUACAUUCAAGACCGAUUUACUGAAGAAGAUAAUCUCACCUGUUUCUUUACAUCUUCAGAAGCAACUUACUCCAAAGUUGAAAACCAGACUUGAGAUGAUGCUACACAACAUAGCCUUAGGGAUUGAGUGCAACUCAUCUACUGAAACAUCAAACUUGUUUAUCUUCGUAUAUUGUCUUAUUGAGGAUACUAUUACAGGAAGCAGAUCUGAAUGCAAAGAGAAUACACAAUCUAGUCCUGAUCAAGACAGUACUGUAAGAAAGACCUUCCUGGGACUAGGUGAGAGUGGAUCACAGAAUUCUUAUAUACUUACCAAGUUUGCACUUGACUUACUUCGUAAUCGUCUGAAGAGCAUCAAGCUUGACAAGGAAGAUGAACAACUCGUGAAGAUGUUGGAUCCUUUUGUUGACCUUCUGCGAAAGUGUAUGAGUUCGAAACAUGCAAGUGUCCUCUCAGCCACAUUUAGAUGUUUUGCCUUGUUGGUGAAACUUCCGUUGCCAUCUCUGAGGGACAAUGCAAUUACUAUAAAAAAUGUACUUAUGGAGAUUUUACAGAGAGCUGGAAACUCCAAUGGUCAUUUAGUCACAUCUUGUUUUAAGCUACUUGCUGAUCUACUUAGAGGAUUCAGGAUUUCACUUUCAGAUAAUGAGCUUCAGAUGCUUGUUCAUACCCCUAUGUUUGUAGAUCUUCAGACAAACCCUUCCCCUGUUGCCUUAUCGCUUCUCAAAACAAUAGUCAGGCUAAAAUUGGUUUCUCACGAAAUUUAUGAUAUAGUUGUUAAGAUAGGAGAGUUGAUGGUAACAACAUUAACUGAAUCUAUACAGCAGCAAUGCAUUCAAAUUAUGCUACAAUUUUUUCUGAACUAUCCACUUUCUGAGAAGCGCUUACAGCAACAUAUUGACUUUUUCCUGGCAAACUUAAGGUAUGAUGAAUAUCCAUAGUUACUUUAUCAUGAUAUCUCACUGUAUGCUAACACUCUGGAAAAUUGCAGUUAUGAACAUCCUUCAGGAAGAGAAGCAGUGCUUGAAAUGCUCCAUGACAUUCUUACCAGAUUUCCCCAGAGGAUUAUUGAUGAGCAGGGUCAAACCUUUUUUCUUCAUCUUGUAGUUGCUCUAGCCAAUGAACAGCAUCAGAAUGUGUCUUCAAUGAUCCUUAGAGCUAUUCAAAAGCUGUUAGGACGCAUUGGUGGUCAGGGAAAGAGUUACAUUUAUGAGUAUUCACUUUCGUGGUACACUGGUGAGAAGAAAAGUUUGUGGAGUGCUUCAGCUCAGGUUACCAUUUAGUAGCUUUGCUAUAUUUUUGCAUAUACUAAAAAAAGAUAUAUUGUACAUCAGCAGUGGACUGGGUUGGUGGUUGCAAUUUGCUUUUGCAUUUGGGUGUUAUUGAAGUACUUACUACUUAGCCCCUUUAUGCUUAUGUUUCAAAGUACUAUUGUCCUUUUACAUCAACUGUUGAAGUGGUUCUUGUGCUUUAUAGGUUAUUGGUUUACUUGUUGGCGAUCACACAUUACAAAUGGGCAAGCACCUUAAAAGUAUUCUGGCUGUUGUUAAGAAAAUAAUGGAAUCAUCUAUUAUUGCUUCUGGAGCUAUACAAUUAGGCUUAUCUGAUGAAGCUGCCCUGCCAUUGUGGAAAGAGACUUACUACUCUGUUGCCAUGAUGGAGAGGUUACUUCUUCGCUUUCCGGAGUUGUAUUUUGAGAAAAACAUGGAGGUAUGAUUACCUUCGUGCACUACUACUAUAUCAAAUUGCAGAUGUAUGUAUUUUGUUUUUUUAUCUAGAUCUUGCCAUGUGAGGGGCAGGCCUGGUGCAGUGGUGAGGGCUGUCUCACUGAGUCGCCAGGUCGUGGGUUUGAAGCAGUCUCCAUACAUUUGCUAGGGCAAGGCUUGUCUUGGUUUAUCCCUUUCUCAAACCCCACUUGCCAUGUCUGCCGUUUAUCUCGAUCUUGCCAUGUGAGAGCCUUUGACACAGAGUCUGUCCCCUAGAUCUUGCCAUGUCUUUUAUGUUGCUUUAUCUCAUGCCUCAGUUGCUUAAACGUAAGGCAAUAGUCAACCGUCACGCCUCGCUUUACUGCUUUGAUAAUGUUGUCAAACAAUCAUAUUCUUUAUCUCCAGCAUUUUUUUUGCUGCCAUGUCUUUUUACCAAUUUAAUGAGAUUUAUACUAGUUGACUCAAGUAUUCAAGGCACUUGUUGACCAUUUACUUAAGUAUUGGGGCCUCAGAUUUAUUUGUUCUUAAACAUAGUAUUUGUUUCAAGCCUUGAACUGGUCAUGUCGGUUGCAACAUCAAGUUUAUGACACCAAUUGUAAUUUGCAGGACAUAUGGAUAAUAUUAUGCAAGUUGUUGAUCCAUCCUCAUUCGAUGUUGCGUAGUAUUUCAAGCUCUCUGGUAGCAUCAUAUUUUGCUACAGUGGAGAAGAGGAAACAUGAACAGAAAUUGGAUGCCCCAUCAUGGUUGCUUGUUCAACCGAGCAGGCUAUUCAUAAUAGCUGUUUCCUUGUUGAAACAAUUGAGGAGUGAGCUGAGUGAUACUACGGCAAAUAAUCUGAUUGUACAGAAUGUUGCAUACUCAGUCUGCAACUUGCAUAUGUUGAUUAGGCAAUCGACCUCCACACAUCAGUUUUGGUCUAGCAUUAGUUCUGAUCGUGGUGCUUUCCUUGAGGGUUUUGAAUUGCUUGGUUCAAGAAAAGCAAAAAUAUAUUUCUCCUUUGUACUUCAACAUCUAGUGAUGUAUCUGGAUCUAGCCUCGACACCAACGAAGAGCCUACAUCUUUGUUAGUUUCGUCAAUCCUAAAGAAGAUGGGAAGAAUUGCAAUGCAAAUGCAGGAUACACAGGUAAGCUCCAUUACAUCAGCCAAGUCAUUCCCUUGUAUGUUUCUCAGGAUGGUGGCUUGCAAUUCAUAUGUAUUACUUAUUUUUCAUCCAUAUGCAGAUAAAGAACGUGUUCAAUUGCUUCAAUAUGAUUUCAUCAGCUCUUGGUCCUGAUGAAUCACUAACCUAUGCUGAUCACCUCUUGGCCCCAUUGUAUAAAGUUUCUGAAGGAUUUGCUGGGAAAGUUGUUAGUGGUAUGUUAAUAUUCCUGUCUUGGUAUUGUUCAUUAUUUGUUUUCAGCAUAUCGGAGGUGUGUAGGCAAGUUCAGUGCUUGGGCUUGCCAUCUGUCUGAGUACCGUUCUUUUGUUGUGGUUUCAGAUGAAGUGAAGCAACUGGCCCAGGGGUCCAGAACAAGUUACGUGACCUGAUUGGUUCCGAGAAAUUUGUUGAAGUCUACAAGAGCGUUCGGAUGGGCCUGAAACAGAAGCGGGACGGUAGAAAGCAGGCACAGAAGAUUGUUGCAGCCGUGGACCCAGAACGCAAUGCCAAGCGAAAGCAGCGAAUGGCAGCCANNNNNNNNNNNNNNNNNNNNNNNNNNNNNNNNNNNNNNNNNNNNNNNNNNNNNNNNNNNNNNNNNNNNNNNNNNNNNNNNNNNNNNNNNNNNNNNNNNNNUUUAGUGAAGAAAGUUCUUCUUCAACAUAUGGAUGUUCUUAUCCAUAGUCUCCAUGAUUUGUUAAUCAUCGCAAAGAGCUCAACAGUACUCACGCCAUCACUAUGUAAUACUACUGUGCAGAAGCAAACUUGACCACUUCAAUAUACUAAAAUACUUCUUUCACUGUACUUGUUCAUGCACCGGGGAAUGUGAUCGUAUAUUUUUAAAAAGGGCAGACCUAGUGCUGGAGGCUCUCAUAUGAGUGGGAUCUGGGAAUGGUAAGCAAGGCAAGCCUCUCCGCAAAUGCGGAGAGGUUGCUUCGAACCCACAGUCUGGUGACUAAGUGAGACAGUUCUCACCCUGCACUAUGCCUGCCCUACUAUUGAAGAAAUCAAAUGCAUAGUUUAUUGUGAGUUUCACUCUACCCCCAAUUAAAUGCCUUGAAGGAAGAAGAUUAUUUGUAGCAUUCUAUUUAAUUGGUUAUGGAUGGUGAUUUCACAGUGAGUUUGCUUUGAACUAUUUGCUUGGUUAGUGCACAUUUUUUGGGCUAUGGACAAGCACAGUCUAUCAAAUGAGAGUGAUCUUAAAAAUUACCAAUAUGUGAGUCAUUUAAUUUAUUGUCCAUGAUAUAAAAUGUAUUUGUGGAUCUAAAACUGUUAAAAAGAAUCACACCGUGGAUAUUAGCCUUUUAUAAUGUUUUGUUCAUCUAUUAUGGUGGUUAAACAUCUCUUAUGAGAGACUCAGGACUUCAGUGACAUUUUUUAGAUGUAUCUGUUUUAUCAAGCAAGCGUAUAAAUUUUCUUAGACUCUUCAUUGCUUGGGCCGAUCCUCUCUUUAAAAUUUUUGUUCCACAUUGCGUCACAUUAAUCUCUUCGGACAUGUUUACAGCAUAUUUGGGAGCAUAUGCAUGAGACUUAAUAAGCUUGAAUGAAUUUCCUGCAUUCUUAAUAUAUACAGGAGAUCUGGUACAUGGCUUGGGCAACGUGAACUUAGGCUGUUCAAAUUAUUGCUAAAUUACAUCACAGAUCCCUCAGCUGCUGAUAACUUCAUAGACCUUAUUCUUCCAUUUUUCAGCAAGAAAGAUUUGAACUCCGGUAAGCCUUUUAUUGAUUAGCCUGCAUAUCAAAUUAUUGUUCUUUUUUUUUCUUUGCAAAUGCCCAACCUUGACAUGGUAUGGCCUUUUUGUCUCAUCUUUUAUAUCACAGACGAUUGUUUGGAAGCACUAUGUGUUGUGAGGGGAAUAAUUCAAAAUCUGAGAUGCAAAGUAUCUGAAAAAGUUCUAAAUGCACUGACCCAUUACUUGCAAUUGUUGGAUUGGAACUGCGACUAUGUAUCUGUGAUAUUUAUGCUGGGUUGUCAUUGAAUGAUCCUUCGAUGUUGUUUCUGGUAAUUAUCACUCUAUUGUGAUGUCAAUUAUGUAAACUUCGCCAUGUUGCCUGUUCCUGUUUCACAGUUUCUUGUGGCAAUUUGCAUUUUUAACAGGCUGGGUUAAUAGGAGAUCUGAAUGCAGUUUCAGCUUCAGAACUUGGUGAACUAGAUUAUGACACAAGACUUAACACCUAUGAUAAGGUUAGGCCACAAUUGUUUCUUGGCUUGACAGAAGAGCAUGUGGGCGCCAUAUUAUCUCAUUGUGUGUAUGAUAUGUCAUCUGAAGAAUUAAUUUUGCGGCAAAGUGCAUCUAGGGCUCUGCAGUCGUUCCUGGACUUUUCCGCCUCAGUUAUGAAUAAUGAUGUGUCCAAAUACUCUAUUGAUGAUAAAUUUAGAGAGAAUAAUACCAGAAGCAUUUGCACGAUGGGCUGUAUUCAGAAGAUAUUGGAAAAAACUUAUCUGCACAAUAUGGGAGUAGCAAUGACUAAAGAUGUAUCAAUUCAAAAGGUGCGCAUAUAUAUAUUUUUAUUUUGUAGUCUAUCAAACUGUUGGUUGAAGGGCUGCAAUUGAUGUUGUAUUCAGGAAUGGAUUAUUUUACUUAGGGAGAUGGUCUCCAAUUUUAAUCAUUUAGCAUCCUUAAGCUCAUUUAGGCCUCUCUGUAAGGUGGAUAUAGAAGAGGAUUUUUUCCACAACAUAACUCAUUUACAGGUAAUGUGCUUGGUUCACUUAUACCAAAGGUCAGAUGAUGGACUGUAAAGCUCAUUUAUAUUUACUAAUGCAGGCUGGUAAAAGAUCAAAAGCACUGUUGCUUUUUAGACAGGGAAUCAAGGAAAACAACUUUUCAGAGGUAAAUGAUGAGAGAAUACUCUAGUUGAUGUCAGUAUGAUAUGUGCAUAUUUGGAAAUUAAUUUGCUGACAGUUGAUCAUUUGUUUCAUCUGUUGAAUUGAAAAGAUAAUACUUGUUUUGUGGACCCGUAUGCUAGUACCAGGUUUUUUUCUUUAAAAAAUAGAUACUUUGUCUCUUUGCUUUGUCAAGCUAGUAUGGCUUCGCAAAUGUUUAUAUAAUAUUGCUGAAGGGAUGUGAGCCUAUUUUCCCUUUACCUUAAAGGUCCUAGGAGAUUGGUGUCACAUGCCAGCUUUUCUUUGAAACUGUGCAACAGUGUACUGAUCUUGCAUCACAGGCAACAGAAAUUUGUCUUCUAAGGGCAGUACAAUUCUGU
rnacentral:lncRNA from 1 species